UGUUGGCUGAUUUCUUUUGAUUUUCCCAUGAUGUCAAGCAAAGAGGCACUGAGUUUGAAGGUUAAGAGAGUCUAUCAUCUGAGGCUGCAGCAAUAUCCAUGACUGUACUUGAAAUGAUCCAAGACCACCGGUGAAGUGUUCAUGAGAGAAGUCCUUAUCAACCAGUGGAACAGAAGAAUUCCUCAGUCCCAGCAGACUGUCAGAACAUAAUUUCUAAUAGUUAUGUGGGACUGAUACCAGUGCGGAAGAGCUGGUCACUUUUAAAGGACUUUGUGAAUGAUUACCUUGACAAUAGGAAUCUUACUGUCUUGAAGACAAGUGAAAUAUGUUUUCUUGUGAAUCUCCACCUAUGUACACUCAGCAGGCCUACAAAUUGCACUUUGGUUUGUCCAUUUUCAUCUCACACGUUUUUACAUACAUUUUCCAAAAUGUAACAUUUCAAUAGCUCCUUGGUCAUGUGACCUACUGGACUCAAAACAAGGUUCAGAAUGGCCACUGAUUACCCUUUAUGUCGCACACCCUUUGGUUUGUCCAUUUUGGCCACUGAUUACCCUUCUGUCGCACACCCUUGUGUGCCCAUUUUCAUAUCACACAUUUUUCGUAUGUUCUAAUUUCAAUAGUCAGGAAACCUAAAAUGUACUCCGCCCAUCCAUGACAAAUCACAACUAUGUUUAAAAAGUCCCAAACAUUUUAUUAGCGUCAUUUCAUCUUCAUACUAAAAUUAACAAUUCUUUACCAUUAUAAUGGAGUAUUUUCAAUAUACAAGUAUCAAUAAGCAUGAUUAAAAGAUCACAAUGGCUUUGUUAUAUGUCUGUGUUAAAGAAUUUCCCAUAUCCUAUUAUAUUAAAAUAUUUAAUAUAUAUUGUCUGUAUUUAAACAGUUUCAAUAAUAAAAAGUGAGUUCCCAUACAAGGCAAUAACAGUAUUUAAUCAGAUCGGGAAUCUCAUAAAUUAAACUAAAAACAAAACAAAAAGCUAGUUGUUUUGAAUGUCCAUGAGGAGAGGAGAAUGGGUGAGUGAGUCUUUGAAGGAAAGACCUGACCCAAGAGAUGAGACGGCAUUCCAUUGCUUAGGGGCAAUUCCAAUUCCACAGUAACAGACAUCAUGCAUAGAGUUAUAUGGUUUGUUUAACUUUGCAAUCACUGCAAUCAAUUUUUGUUUGAAAUACAUUUUAAAGUGAAAUAUUUGAGUAUCAGUGGCACUGUUACCGUGGAAUUCCCCUUAGUCAACAACAUUCAAGGCAGGAAAUUAUAACGAGCUCUGUUCACCUUUAAAAACAUCUACAUUUCGGACUUUACAUUAAGUCUAGAGAUUUGUUCGACACAAUAAUAACCAAACUUCUGUCCUUUACCACUAAUUGGUAGAUGACUAUUGUCAUCAUCGUAGCUGAGAUAUACUGUAUUCUUAUGCAUAAGGGGACAUCCAAUAAUAAACAGUCCGAGGUUAGACGAUACUCCUUCAACAUGGCCUUCAGCAUGAUACAUAUAUUACUUUAUUAACAAAUACAACGGUGCUUUUUGAACAAGACUUCACAUCCAUAGCCAGAACUGUAUCUGAAAAGAUCUCUUAGAAAGCAUAGUUCUAUGAGAAUAAACACUGAUUUGCUCAAUCA